rnacentral:rRNA from 1 species
GACGAACGCUGGCGGCGUGCCUAAUACAUGCAAGUCGAACGCAGUGGGGACGGGUGAGUAACACGUGGGUAACCUCCCAUCAGAGGGGAUAACCCUUGGAAACAGGUGCUAAACCGAUACUGAUGGAUGGACCCGCGGUGCAUUAGCUAGUUGGUGAGGUAACGGCUCACCAAGGCCACGAUGCUUAGCCGACCGGAGAGGGUGAUCGGCCACACUGGGACUGAGACACGGCCCAGACUCCGACGGGAGGCAGCAGUAGGGAAUAGUGGGCAAUGGGCGAAAGCCUGACCGAGCAACGCCGCGUGAGUGAAGAAGGUUUUCGGAUCGUAAAGCUCUGUUGUUAGGGAAGCGGUAUCGAACGAGAAAGCCACGGCUAACUACGUGCCAGCAGCCGCGGUAAUUC